GAUCUGGAGGCAGUAAUGGACUGCUUGUGACACUUGGGAGCAUGCGAGGCAUGCCAUUAGCCCGGCUAUUCCCAGAAAGGAUGGUGGACAGAUCACCGCUGCCCUCAUUCAUCCACUUUUGUUGUAAUUGGGCUUGCCCAAGAGAUGUCGCCAAACCUUGUCCCAAGUUCCCAUGCUGGUUUCCUGGUAGGCUAAGAUGAUACUUAGCUGCAUCACCAAUCAAAGGAUUUGUUGUGCAACUGCUACUUCCAGUCGGAAUUGACCUGGAAGUGGCCACCCCCUGAAUCACAACCGCUGUUUGGUUGUUUCUAGGACUAUUUAGCAAUCCAUGUGCACUGAAAGUUGAUAGCGCUGCGGGAGAGGUGAAAGCUUGAUAACCCUGGAGUCCUUCGAAUGCAUCCAUGCGCAGAAAGGGGUCUCUGCCUCCCAAGGCAGCAACGAUGCCAGCUUGUUGUGAUGCCACAGCACUUAACCGUCGGAGAUAAAGCCUAUAUUUCUGCAUGUGACUUGCAACAUUUUCCCUAGUGAGUUUCUCAACAUUCAUAAGCUCGAGUAUCCUUUUUGGCACAGCUU
rnacentral:rRNA from 1 species